rnacentral:rRNA from 1 species
AUUGAACGCUGGCGGCAUGCUUUACACAUGCAAGUCGAACGGUAACAGGCCGCAAGGUGCUGACGAGUGGCGAACGGGUGAGUAAUGCAUCGGAACGUGCCCGGUCGUGGGGGAUAACGCAGCGAAAGCUGCGCUAAUACCGCAUACGAUCUAUGGAUGAAAGCGGGGGACCGUAAGGCCUCGCGCGAUUGGAGCGGCCGAUGUCAGAUUAGGUAGUUGGUGGGGUAAAGGCUCACCAAGACGACGAUCUGUAGCUGGUCUGAGAGGACGACCAGCCACACUGGGACGGAAGCACGGCCCAGACUCCUACGGGAGGCAGCAGUGGGGAAUUUUGGACAAUGGGCGCAAGCCUGAUCCAGCAAUGCCGCGUGCAGGAAGAAGGCCUUCGGGUUGUAAACUGCUUUUGUACGGAACGAAACGGUCUGGGUUAAUACCCUGGGCUAAUGACGGUACCGUAAGAAUAAGCACCGGCUAACUACGUGCCAGCAGCCGCCGUAACAC